rnacentral:rRNA from 1 species
UACGUAGGGGGCAAGCGUUGUCCGGAAUCAUUGGGCGUAAAGAGCGUGUAGGCGGCCAAACAGGUCCGUUGUGAAAACUGGAGGCUCAACCUCCAGACGUCGACGGAAACCGUGUGGCUAGAGUCCGGAAGAGGAGAGUGGAAUUCCUGGUGUAGCGGUGAAAUGCGCAGAUAUCAGGAAGAACACCAAUGGCGAAGGCAGCUCUCUGGGACGGUACUGACGCUGAGAAGCGAAAGCAUGGGGAGCGAACAGG